UUUUGGCUAUGAGGAGUAAUUUUCACAGCUUGAAUGCCAGUUCUGCUUCAGAAAAUUCUUGAUAGAAAAAGCUGUUUCAUAUCCUGAGCUAAAU
rfam:Spinacia oleracea cultivar SynViroflay scaffold5891.con0010.1, whole genome shotgun sequence.